AGUAUCUCUAUAUGUUAUGAGUACACCGUGGACUUAGAAUCCAGCGGUUUAUCCAUACGGGUUCAAAUCCCGUCUCUCGCACCA
rnacentral:tRNA from 1 species